GAAAAUAUGAGACUCUGAAUCUGAUCGGAUCGAGUUUCCCUUGUCUAAGCGGGUUAGUUUAACUUGAGCUGCUUGCUCUUACGUAUACUUUCAAGUUGAGAAACAAGAGGAAGGUUUAGGUACCAGGCAGCCCAGACACUAACUAUGAAACUCGGAUUAAGAUGUUUGGAUACUUGAAACCAUCACCAAAGUAUACCAUAUUAUGUCAUGCAGUGUUAUUCGAAACAUGUCGGUGGUCUUUAUCGGGAUUUAGAUCUCGAAUAACGUAAAUCGAUAGCUACACAACCAACAACAUACUCCGUCCGGUCCUGAUUUUACUCCUUACCAUAUUCAUAAUCUAGGUGAGCGAAGUUCUCAUAGUCUGGAAUCGAAAUCGCCAAAAGAGUGUGGCAUUCAUUGUUCGUUUGCAAAACUUGUCUCUGACAUUUAUGCUUGUAAGCUGUCCAUUAAGUGAUUAAGGUCAUUUGGUGCUCUAACGAAUGGCCACUCUCAAGCCAUAAAAAAAGACCCCGACGACUCACCGAGCUG